AUUGAACGCUGGCGGCAGGACUAACACAUGCAAGUCGAACGAGUGGCGGACGGGUGAGUAAUGUGUGGGAAACUGCCCGAUAGAGGGGGAUAACUACUGGGAACGGUAGCUAAUAACGAAUACUAUAGGAUGUGCCCAGAUGGGAUUAGCUAGUAGGUGGGGUAAAGGCUUACCUAGGCGACGAUCCCUAGCUGGUCUGAGAGGAUGAGCAGCCACAGUGGAACUGCGACACUGUCCAGACUCCUACGGGAGGCAGCAGUGGGGAAUAUUGCACAAUGGGCGAAAGCCUGAUGCAGCCAUGCCGCGUGUAUGAAUAAGUCCUUCGGGUUGUAAAGGAAUUUCAGCGGGUAGGCGUUACCCGCAGAAGAAGCACCGGCUAACUCCGUGCCAGCCGCCGCGGUAAUUC
rnacentral:rRNA from 1 species